AGAGUUUGAUCCUGGCUCAGGGUGAACGCUGGCGGCGCGCUUAAUGCAUGCAAGUCGAACGUGCCUUCGGGCAAGUGGCAGACGGCUGAGUAACGCGUGAGUAACGUGCCCUCCGGUGGGGUAUAGCCUCGGGAAACUGAGAGUAAUCCCGCAUACGAUCCGGUGGCCUUGGUUGCCGGAUGAAAGCCUUCGGGCGCCGGAGGAGCGGCUCGCGUCCUAUCAGGUAGUUGGUGGGGUAAAAGCCCACCAAGCCGAAGACGGGUAACCGGUGUGAGAGCGCGAUCGGUCAGAGGGGGACUGAGACACGGCCCCCACUCCUACGGGAGGCAGCAGCAGGGAAUCUUGCGCAAUGGGCGAAAGCCUGACGCAGCGACACCGCGUGGGGGAUGAAGGCUUUCGAGUUGUAAACCCCUUUUCCCGGGGAUGAGAAAGGACAGUACCCGGGGAAUAAGGUUCGGCUAACUACGUGCCAGCAGCCGCGGUAAUACGUAGGAACCGAGCGUUGUCCGGAUUUACUGGGCGUAAAGUGCGCGUAGGCGGUCCGUUAAGUCUCAUGUGAAAUCUCCUGGCUCAACUGGGAGGGGUCAUGGGAUACUGGCAGACUGGAGUGCAGUAGAGGAAAGCGGAAUUCCCGGAGUAGUGGUGGAAUGCGUAGAUACCGGGAGGAACACCAGAGGCGAAGGCGGCUUUCUGGGCUGUAACUGACGCUGAGGCGCGAAAGCGUGGGUAGCAAACCGGAUUAGAUACCCGGGUAGUCCACGCCCUAAACGAUGGAUACUAGGCAUGGGGGGUAUCGACCCCCUCCGUGCCGCAGCUAACGCAAUAAGUAUCCCGCCUGAGGAGUACGGCCGCAAGGCUAAAACUCAAAGGAAUUGACGGGGACCCGCACAAGCAGCGGAUCGUGUGGUUUAAUUCGAUGAUAAGCGAAGAACCUUACCAGGGCUUGAAAUGCUUCUGACCGGCUGUGAAAGCAGCCUUUCCUUCGGGACAGUUGCACAGAUGUUGCAUGGCUGUCGUCAGCUCGUG
rnacentral:rRNA from 1 species